rnacentral:rRNA from 1 species
AUUGAACGCUGGCGGCAUGCUUUACACAUGCAAGUCGAACGGUAACAGGCCGCAAGGUGCUGACGAGUGGCGAACGGGUGAGUAAUGCAUCGGAACGUGCCCAGUCGUGGGGGAUAACGCAGCGAAAGCUGUGCUAAUACCGCAUACGAUCUGUGGAUGAAAGCGGGGGACCUUCGGGCCUCGCGCGAUUGGAGCGGCCGAUGUCAGAUUAGGUAGUUGGUGGGGUAAAGGCUCACCAAGCCAACGAUCUGUAGCUGGUCUGAGAGGACGACCAGCAACACGGGGAAUGAGACACGGCCCAGACUCCUACGGGAGGCAGCAGUGGGGAAUUUUGGACGAUGGGCGCAAGCCUGAUCCAGCAAUGCCGCGUGCAGGAAGAAGGCCUUCGGGUUGUAAACUGCUUUUGUACGGAGCGAAAAGGCUCUCUCUAAUACAGGGGGCUCAUGACGGUACCGUAAGAAUAAGCACCGGCUAACUACGUGCCAGCCGCCGCGGUAA